GCAGCAGAGUGGAAGGACUCCAAACCAGCUGGUCUCCUGUAAAUCGAGGCAUCUCAGAGUCACUGAUGGAGCAGGAAAAGAGAGAGCUGAAGGAGGGGGCCUGAAAAUGGGAGACACAGCCUCUUAUCUCUGUUCUUUGGAAAACAAUAUGAAUUUGGGCUCAGCGGAGAGAAAUAUUUCGUUGCAGCUGUAAGUGUUUGCAAACUUCGGGGCCCUGGAGGGCACAUGUUCAUAUACGGUGGACAGGACACAAGUAAAGGAUUCACAAGGUCA